CGCGGCGUGACGAAAGCGCUAGCAGCGAAAUAUUACGAGCACG
rnacentral:misc_RNA from 1 species